rnacentral:lncRNA from 1 species
UGUUUUCUUAGUCAAGGAGUUUAUAGCCAUUACCUGGAAACACAAGUUUAAAAAAACAGUAGCCCAUGAAAAAGGACAGUAAUAUAAUAUUAGUAUUUACAUUGGUAAUAAAAACAAAAAGGUAAAUAAAGGACAUCUCUGGAAAAUGCAGCAUUUCUGUUUCUUAGAAGUCAUAAUGCAAGUUCAUAGAAACACAAUGAAGUAGAAUACACUCAUUCACACACAUAAACACACAUGCAAGACAGACACACUCUCACACACAUACACACACAUGCAGACUAACACCAGUAUUCAACAGUUCUAUUAUCAAAAGAGGAUAUCCACUACAGAACAAAAAGUCAUUCUGCUACUAGGCAACCGAUGCACACAGACCACACCCACAAGUCUAUACAGUCUUUUGUCAACAUUUAUGUUAAUGUAUUGUCAGUGGGGAUUUGAUUAGCCACAAAUUAGCUUAAAAAUAAUUGAUAUUAUUGCAUGUAAUUUUAUACAAUUGGAGGUGGUUGGUUGAGUCUCUGUGUGUGUGUGUGAAAAAUCUAAAAUCCUUAAUUUUCAAUUUUCAUAAAAGUAGUGCACUGUAUUAGCGGUCUGUAGCGCGGACCCCCACCACCAAACUACUUUCCGCAGCUAUUGUGUGUGUGUGUGUGUGUGUGUGUGUGUGUGUGUGUGUGUGUGUGUGUGUGUGUGUGUGUGUGAGUGUGUUGAUCUGUUCACAUUGUUAAGCCAAUUGUCCCCUCCAGCCUUUGUCUCCCCCUCUUUGUUUACUGUCGUAAUCCUCUCCAAGAUGUUCACUUUCCUUCCUCCUUUUCCCCUCCUCUUCUUCAUCUCUACAGUAAGUCAGUGGAAUGGAAACCUGAGAGAGAUCCUAUAUACAGUAUAGUAUAGUACAGCUGGUGAGUAUAGUCAGCAUAGUUGUAUUCUAGUCAGAUAGUAGUCGGUGGUAAACCAACUACUAGAGAUGCUAUAGUUUCUGUUGUCUUCAGUGAUCCAGUCUCCAUGCUCCUGAAGACCUUCCCUCAGACACGCUCCACCUCCACUGUUAGACCCUGACUUAGCAGUGUUCUAUGUCGCGUUAUAACCUCCACUACUGUUAGACCUUGACUUAACAGUCCUCCCAAGUCUUACUCUGCAGUGUCUUGUAGGUUUUGCUGUUAUGUCGCAUCUUAACUCCUUUAAGUCAUCUCAUGUCCUUCUCCUACUCUGCAGUGUCUUGUGGAACAGCUAUUUGUCUGUUUCCAUCAUGACCCUUUCUCAGUAUUGAAGUAGUGUUCUUGAUUAUUGUCAAUCCUCUAUGCCAAGUUAUAACCUCCAUUAUAUUAUAUUUUAACUCCUAAGUUGUCUCAUAACCUCCUCUCACUCAUUUAAGUCAUGUAGUAGUUCUCCUGACUGUUAGGUCUCCCCAAACUGUGUCACAUUUAAUUACGUCCCCUGACUGUAUGGUUACGUAGUGGUACUACUGUCUAUAUUAACUGCUCUAUGUCGUCUUAUAACCUCUUGCUCUAUAAGUUCCCAUAUGUUCUCUUCUAACCUCAUAGUCUGUUUUUAGUAGUGUUACUGUCUAUUAUAACGCCUCUAUGUCGCGUUAUAAUCUCCUCUCUGUCUGCAUGGUCUUGUAAUAGACUUCUUGAUCAGCGCGGCUGUGGGCUGAGACAGUGGGCCGGCGGGGGAGGGUCAUAGAGCGGGGGAGGGGGGGAGAGUAACUGUCCAACAGCAGAUCUGGAUGAGGAGGGGGAG